GUAGGGAAUAUUGCACAAUGGGGGAAACCCUGAUGCAGCGACGCCGCGUGAGUGAUGAAGGCCUUCGGGUCGUAAAGCUCUGUCGUAUGGGACUAACACAAUGAAGGUACCAUGCAAGAAAGGAUCGGCUAACUUCGUGCCAGCAGCCGCGGUAAGACGAGGGAUCCUAGCGUUGUUCGGAAUCAUUGGGCGUAAAGCGGGUGUAGGCGGAUUUAUAAGUCAGGUGUGAAAUCCCAUGGCUCAACCCUGGAAGUGCACUUGAUACUGUAAAUCUUGAGUGUGGUAGAGGUUACUGGAAUUGUUGGUGUAGUGGUGAAAUACGUAGAUAUCAACAGGAAUACCGGAGGCGAAGGCGAGUAACUGGGCCAACACUGACGCUGAGACCCGAAAGCGUGGGGAUCAAACAGGAUUAGAUACCCGGGUAGUCC
rnacentral:rRNA from 1 species